rnacentral:rRNA from 1 species
GGGUUGUGAGGUUAAGCGACUAAGCGUACACGGUGGAUGCCCUGGCAGUCAGAGGCGAUGAAGGGCGUACUAAUCUGCGAUAAGCGCCGGUAAGGUGAUAUGAACCGUUAUAACCGGCGAUACCCGAAUGGGGAAACCCAGUGUGAUUCGUCACACUAUCAUUAACUGAAUCCAUAGGUUAAUGAGGCGAACCGGGGGAACUGAAACAUCUAAGUACCCCGAGGAAAAGAAAUCAACCGAGAUUCCCCCAGUAGCGGCGAGCGAACGGGGAGGAGCCCAGAGCCUGAAUCAGCAUGUGUGUUAGUGGAAGCGUCUGGAAAGGCGCGCGAUACAGGGUGACAGCCCCGUACACAAAAGCGCAUGUGCUGUGAGCUCGAUGAGUAGGGCGGGACACGUGGUAUCCUGUCUGAAUAUGGGGGGACCAUCCUCCAAGGCUAAAUACUCCUGACUGACCGAUAGUGAACCAGUACCGUGAGGGAAAGGCGAAAAGAACCCCGGCGAGGGGAGUGAAAAAGAACCUGAAACCGUGUACGUACAAGCAGUGGGAGCACCCUUUGGGUGUGACUGCGUACCUUUUGUAUAAUGGGUCAGCGACUUAUAUUCUGUAGCAAGGUUAACCGAAUAGGGGAGCCGGAGGGAAACCGAGUCUUAACCGGGCGUUAAGUUGCAGGGUAUAGACCCGAAACCCGGUGAUCUAGCCAUGGGCAGGUUGAAGGUUGGGUAACACUAACUGGAGGACCGAACCGACUAAUGUUGAAAAAUUAGCGGAUGACCUGUGGCUGGGGGUGAAAGGCCAAUCAAACCGGGAGAUAGCUGGUUCUCCCCGAAAGCUAUUUAGGUAGCGCCUCGUGAAUUCAUCUCCGGGGGUAGAGCACUGUUUCGGCUAGGGGGCCAUCCCGGCUUACCAACCCGAUGCAAACUGCGAAUACCGGAGAAUGUUAUCACGGGAGACACACGGCGGGUGCUAACGUCCGUCGUGAAGAGGGAAACAACCCAGACCGCCAGCUAAGGUCCCAAAGUCAUGGUUAAGUGGGAAACGAUGUGGGAAGGCCCAGACAGCCAGGAUGUUGGCUUAGAAGCAGCCAUCAUUUAAAGAAAGCGUAAUAGCUCACUGGUCGAGUCGGCCUGCGCGGAAGAUGUAACGGGGCUAAACCAUGCACCGAAGCUGCGGCAGCGACACUGUG